rnacentral:tRNA from 1 species
AUUUAAAUAGUUUAAUUUAAAACAUUACAUUUUCAAUGUAAAAUUGGGGCAACUCUUUAAAUA